rnacentral:rRNA from 1 species
ACAGCAAGCUUGCUUGCUGUGUCGUGACUGCGUGCCUUUUGAAGAAUGAGCCUGCGAGUUUGCGGCAUGUUGCGAGGUUAACCCGUGUGGGGGAGCCGUAGCGAAAGCGAGUCCGAAGAGGGCGAUCUGAGUAGCGUGUUCAAGACCCGAAGCGGAGUGAUCUAGCCAUGGGCAGGGUGAAGCGGAGGUAAGACUUCGUGGAGGCCCGAACCCACCAGGGUUGAAAACCUGGGGGAUGACCUGUGGUUAGGGG